UUAGUUUUAUUUACAUUUUUAAAUAAUCGCUGAUCGCAAUGAAAAAUUAUUCUUUUGAAUAAGCACUCGAUCUUACACGCGUGGUUAUUUUAUCUUAAAAGACCUUUGAAAUAUUUAAAUUACUUGGAUUAAAGGUACCAUAGUAUCCUUACCAUUUUUGGAAAAUGCUGUGCUGUCAUAAAUCAUGAUUGAGUGGUAAUCAAACUUGGUAUACAAGAUUGCCUCACUUAAUGGUAUUA